rnacentral:rRNA from 1 species
AGCAGCCGCGGUAAUUCCAGCUCCAAUAGCGUAUAUUAAAGUUGUUGCAGUUAAAAAGCUCGUAGUUGAAUUUCGAGACCGGUUUAUUGGUCGUGCUUUUGUACGUACUGGUAUUAUUGGUUUCUCCUUUCUGACGAAUCUUAAUGCCAUUAAUUUGGUGUUUUGGGGAAUCAGGACUGUUACUUUAGAAAAAAUUAGAGUGUUUAAAGCAGGCUCACGCUUGAAUACAUUAGCAUGGAAUAACGGAAUAGGACGUUUGAUUCUAUUUUGUUGGUUUCUAGGAUCGACGUAAUGAUUAAUAGGGAUAGUUGGGGGCAUUAGUAUUCAAUUGUCAGAGGUGAAAUUCUUGGAUUUAUUGAAGACUAACUACUGCGAAAGCAUUUGCCAAGGAUGUUUUCAUUAAUCAAGAACGAAAGUUAGGGGAUCGAAGACGAUCAGAUACCGUCGUAGUCUUAACCAUAAACUAUGCCGACUAGGGAUCGGAUGAUGUUAAUUUUUAAUGACUCAUUCGGCGCCUUAC